rnacentral:hammerhead_ribozyme from 1 species
AUUCGACUGACGAGUUCGAAAUAGGAUGAAACGUAUGUCAUGGAU